rnacentral:rRNA from 1 species
AAUGGGUCAGCGACUUAUAUUCUGUAGCAAGGUUAACCGAAUAGGGGAGCCGCAGGGAAACCGAGUCUUAAUUGGGCGUUAAGUUGCAGGGUAUAGACCCGAAACCCGGUGAUCUAGCCAUGGGCAGGUUGAAGGUUGGGUAACACUAACUGGAGGACCGAACCGACUAAUGUUGAAAAAUUAGCGGAUGACCUGUGGCUGGGGGUGAAAGGCCAAUCAAACCGGGAGAUAGCUGGUUCUCCCCGAAAGCUAUUUAGGUAGCGCCUCGUGAAUUCAUCUCCGGGGGUAGAGCACUGUUUCGGCUAGGGGGCCAUCCCGGCUUACCAACCCGAUGCAAACUGCGAAUACCGGAGAAUGUUAUCACGGGAGACACACGGCGGGUGCUAACGUCCGUCGUGAAGAGGGAAACAACCCAGACCGCCAGCUAAGGUCCCAAAGUCAUGGUUAAGUGGGAAACGAUGUGGGAAGGCCCAGACAGCCAGGAUGUUGGCUUAGAAGCAGCCAUCAUUUAAAGAAAGCGUAAUAGCUCACUGGUCGAGUCGGCCUGCGCGGAAGAUGUAACGGGGCUAAACCAUGCACCGAAGCUGCGGCAGCGACGCUGAUGCGUUGUUGGGUAGGGGAGCGUUCUGUAAGCCUGUGAAGGUGUGUCGUGAGGCAUGCUGGAGGUAUCAGAAGUGCGAAUGCUGACAUAAGUAACGAUAAAGCGGGUGAAAAGCCCGCUCGCCGGAAGACCAAGGGUUCCUGUCCAACGUUAAUCGGGGCAGGGUGAGUCGACCCCUAAGGCGAGGCCGAAAGGCGUAGUCGAUGGGAAACGGGUUAAUAUUCCCGUACUUGGUGUUACUGCGAAGGGGGGACGGAGAAGGCUAUGUUGGCCGGGCGACGGUUGUCCCGGUUUAAGCGUGUAGGUGUGUGUUCCAGGUAAAUCCGGUUCACUUUAACACUGAGGCGUGAUGACGAGGCACUACGGUGCUGAAGCAACAAAUGCCCUGCUUCCAGGAAAAGCCUCUAAGCAUCAGGUAACAUCAAAUCGUACCCCAAACCGACACAGGUGGUCAGGUAGAGAAUACCAAGGCGCUUGAGAGAACUCGGGUGAAGGAACUAGGCAAAAUGGUGCCGUAACUUCGGGAGAAGGCACGCUGACACGUAGGUGAAGUGAUUUACUCACGGAGCUGAAGUCAGUCGAAGAUACCAGCUGGCUGCAACUGUUUAUUAAAAACACAGCACUGUGCAAACACGAAAGUGGACGUAUACGGUGUGACGCCUGCCCGGUGCCGGAAGGUUAAUUGAUGGGGUCAGCGCAAGCGAAGCUCCUGAUCGAAGCCCCGGUAAACGGCGGCCGUAACUAUAACGGUCCUAAGGUAGCGAAAUUCCUUGUCGGGUAAGUUCCGACCUGCACGAAUGGCGUAAUGAUGGCCAGGCUGUCUCCACCCGAGACUCAGUGAAAUUGAACUCGCUGUGAAGAUGCAGUGUACCCGCGGCAAGACGGAAAGACCCCGUGAACCUUUACUAUAGCUUGACACUGAACAUUGAGCCUUGAUGUGUAGGAUAGGUGGGAGGCUUUGAAGUGUGGACGCCAGUCUGCAUGGAGCCGACCUUGAAAUACCACCCUUUAAUGUUUGAUGUUCUAACGUGGACCCGUAAUCCGGGUUGCGGACAGUGUCUGGUGGGUAGUUUGACUGGGGCGGUCUCCUCCUAAAGAGUAACGGAGGAGCACGAAGGUUGGCUAAUCCUGGUCGGACAUCAGGAGGUUAGUGCAAUGGCAUAAGCCAGCUUGACUGCGAGCGUGACGGCGCGAGCAGGUGCGAAAGCAGGUCAUAGUGAUCCGGUGGUUCUGAAUGGAAGGGCCAUCGCUCAACGGAUAAAAGGUACUCCGGGGAUAACAGGCUGAUACCGCCCAAGAGUUCAUAUCGACGGCGGUGUUUGGCACCUCGAUGUCGGCUCAUCACAUCCUGGGGCUGAAGUAGGUCCCAAGGGUAUGGCUGUUCGCCAUUUAAAGUGGUACGCGAGCUGGGUUUAGAACGUCGUGAGACAGUUCGGUCCCUAUCUGCCGUGGGCGCUGGAGAACUGAGGGGGGCUGCUCCUA